UACAGAGGGGGCAAGCGUUGUUCGGAAUUACUGGGCGUAAAGGGCGCGUAGGCGGCCUGUUAAGUCGAACGUGAAAUCCCCGGGCUCAACCCGGGAACUGCGUCCGAUACUGGCUGGCUUGAAUCCGGGAGAGGGAUGCGGAAUUCCAGGUGUAGCGGUGAAAUGCGUAGAUAUCUGGAGGAAUACCGGUGGCGAAGGCGGCAUCCUGGACCGGCAUUGACGCUGAUGAGCGAAAGCUAGGGGAGCAAACGGG
rnacentral:rRNA from 1 species